rnacentral:rRNA from 1 species
AACGAACGCUGGCGGCAGGCCUAACACAUGCAAGUCGAAGGGGCCCUUCGGGGUCAGCGGCAGAAGGGUGAGUAACACGUGGGAACGUGCCCAUCGGUUCGGAAUAACCAAGGGAAACUUGGGCUAAUACCGGAAAAGCCCUCACGGGGAAAGAUGUAUCGCCGAAGGAUCGGCCCGCGUCUGAUUAGCUAGUUGGUGGGGUAAUGGCCCACCAAGGCGACGAUCAGUAGCUGGUCUGAGAGGAUGAUCAGCCUCACUUGGACUGAGACACGGCCCAGACUCCUACGGGAGGCAGCAGUGGGGAAUGUUGGACAAUGGGCGCAAGCCUGAUCCAGCCAUGCCGCGUGGGUGAUGAAGGCCCUAGGGUUGUAAAGCCCUUUCGGCGGGGAAGAUAAUGACGGUACCCGGAGAAGAAGCCCCGGCUAACUCCGUGCCAGCAGCCGCCGUAAAAC